AUCGCCAUCGAUCCACGCUCCAUUGCGCUCGGUUCGCCGGUUUUCCUGGCGACGACCCGGCCGAAUUCCGCACAGCCGAUGAACAGGCUGGUCAUGGCUCAGGACACCGGCGGCGCCAUCAAGGGCGCGGUGCGCGCCGACUUCUUCUGGGGUUUCGGUAAGGAGGCCGGCGAACAAGCCGGUCGCAUGAAGCAGAGCGGUCGCAUGUGGGUGCUCUUGCCGGCCGAGCUUGCUCCGAAAUGAGGCGUGGGCGCACCGAUAACGAGCGGAUGGGUAAUAAUUUGCACCAACAUGGUGCAAAUUGUGCGCAAAUGACUUUGGUAACGCACUGAUUUGUAACAUUUUUUGCGCACUGGAAUGGUGCUUGCUUUUCCGUUCGCCAUCAUUGCCUUGGGGGUUU
rnacentral:misc_RNA from 1 species